rnacentral:rRNA from 1 species
GACGGACGGUGCAAGCGUUGCUCGGAAUCACUGGGCGUAAAGGGUGCGUAGGCGGCCGUGCAAGUCUGGCGUGAAAGCCCCGGGCUCAGCCCGGGAAGUGCGCUCGAAACUGCGCGGCUCGAGUGCCGGAGGGGAGAGUGGAAUUCCUGGUGUAGCGGUGAAAUGCGUAGAUAUCAGGAGGAAUACCGGUGGCGAAAGCGGCUCUCUGGACGGCAACUGACGCUGAGGCACGAAAGCGUGGGGAGCAAACAGG